rnacentral:rRNA from 1 species
UACGUAGGGUGCGAGCGUUAAUCGGAAUUACUGGGCGUAAAGCGUGCGCAGGCGGCGCGUUAAGACAGGUGUGAAAGCCCCGAGCUUAACUUGGGAAUUGCGCUUGUGACUGGCGAGCUGGAGUGUGGCAGAGGGAGGUGGAAUUCCACGUGUAGCAGUGAAAUGCGUAGAGAUGUGGAGGAACACCGAUGGCGAAGGCAGCCUCCUGGGCCAGCACGUGACGCUCAUGCACGAAAGCGUGGGGAGCAAACAGG